rnacentral:rRNA from 1 species
CUCGGACCACCAUACCGGGGGGGAAACACCCGGUCCCAUUCCGAACCCGGAAGUUAAGCCCCCCAGGGCCGAUGAUAGCCUCGCCCCGAGCGAGGUGAAAGUAGGUCGUGGUCCGGGCAC